rnacentral:precursor_RNA from 14 species
CCCAGCAUAAAACAUGCUUGUACACCUGUGGUGCAUUGUAGUUGCAUUGCAAGUUCUCAUCAAAACUUUGCGAUGCAUCUGCGGUGCAAUCACAGUGGCAAGACUAGACAACGAGAGGAGG